UGAGGAAUCUUCCACAAUGGGGGCAACCCUGAUGGAGCAACGCCGCGUGCAGGAUGAAGGCCUUCGGGUUGUAAACUGCUUUUAUAAGUGAGGAAUAUGACGGUAACUUAUGAAUAAGGAUCGGCUAACUACGUGCCAGCAGCCGCGGUCAUACGUAGGAUCCGAGCGUUAUCCGGAGUGACUGGGCGUAAAGAGUUGCGUAGGUGGUUUGUAAAGCGAAUAGUGAAAUCUGGCGGCUCAACCGUACAGGCUAUUAUUCGAACUCACAAACUCGAGAAUGGUAGGGGUCACUGGAAUUUCUUGUGUAGGAGUGAAAUCCGUAGAUAUAAGAAGGAACACCAAUGGCGUAGGCAGGUGACUGGACCAUUUCUGACACUGAGGCACGAAAGCGUGGGGAGCGAACC
rnacentral:rRNA from 1 species